rnacentral:snRNA from 1 species
CUAGCUAAGGCUCGCUGAGCUAAGAUCAUGUGUAGUAUCUGUUCCGAGCAGGACGGGUGCUGUGAGCCUGCUCAACUCCGUCCACGGGUCGGCCUCGUAUUACGUUACCUCGAGGAUUGGCCCAUUAAUC